AUGACCUCGGAUCAGGUAGGGAUACCCGCUGAACUUAAGCAUAUCAAUAAGCGGAGGAAAAGAAACCAACAGGGAUUACCUCAGUAACGGCGAGUGAAGCGG
rnacentral:rRNA from 2 species